AUAUUAUUACGGUUUCGCUUAUGUUUAUUUGUGUUUAUUUUUUUAGGCUUAUUGCCAGGGGUAUGACGACAAUCGAGUUUUGUGAAAAACGGACAAAUUAUCACAAUCAGACUUAUACGAAAUAUUAUAAUAAGGGUUUAUGGCAGAAUUUCAAGGAUACCUUUGGCGAGUCAGCAUUUUUUUGGUUUCUACCAAUAGAUGAUAGGAAAGGAGAUGGAAUAAAUUUUAAAAAAGUCCAUAAAGAUGAGAAAAGUGCUAUAUCAGAAGAAGAAACGGUAGCAAUAAAGUAUGACUGUUGAACAUUUAUACAAACAAAAUUAUAAAUUUGAAAAAUGUUAUAAUUGUUCUUUUUUUAUUUUUUUUUUGUUUUAUUUAUAUUCAUUUUUUUUUUUAUUUUUUAUUUUUGUGUAUUAUGGAAUUAUAAAAAUAAAUAUGGUGCUAUUAAUGAUAAAAAAAAUAUA
rnacentral:lncRNA from 1 species